ensembl:lncRNA
CGGUCAUUGGCUGACAAACGCUGCUAUGGAGUCCAGACCUUCUGCUGCCAGUCUGACUGAGGUCUACUAGUGAAUCAUGAUUUGUUCGUGAAAACAUUCAUAUGCAUAUUUCACAUAUUAAUUGCUGAAUGAGACCCAUUGUUCUGUCAGAAGCACUGAAAGGAGAACUAAAACAUAAGAAAUAUUUUGCAAGUAUUAAACUACUUGCAUCAUUUUAUAAAAUGAGAUAAGGGAAGAAAACAAGAGAACGGAGGGCCCAGUGGAAGAGUAGAUUGAUCGGGGCUUGUAAUGGGGCAGUGAUAACCUUGUGUAAUGAUAUGUUGCUGUGCUUGUGAUUCCUGUGCUGGCCGUGGCCGCCGUGCAUGAUGGAUCACAACGGCGAGCUGAUAGUGCCAUUACUCACUGACACGCACACCUGCCUGACACCCAUCCCCUCUGGACACAGCAGCCCCCCAGAACCCGGUCCACUGAGACACUCCACUGGAAAUUCUGCAGUCCAGCAAAUCCCACAAAGUUCUCCCCAUGCCUCUUUUGUAGGACGUUUUCCUUUUUCUUUCUCUUUACCUAAUGUUUCCUCUAGUUACAAGCGCUGUUUGUCUCUGUCUGGUGAGAGUUUGGGUAUUUGACCUUUGGAUUUUCAAAGUAAACUUUAAAGUGCUUCUCUUACAGCAUCCUGUAGUUCAGAGGACCCUCAUUACAGAACCGCAGUGAUAGGCCUUUUACUCUCACGACAUGUGCCCCAGCAGAGCACCAGUGUCGGGCUAGCAAACGUGUCAACCCUCCUGAUAACUGCACCCUACUAGCCACCCAAACCGCAGCAGCCCCUAGCCUAUCAAUCACCACGGGCCAGCACAGAGAAGCUGCCUCCCCUGCCACUGGAUGAUGGAGGAGGGGGGAACUGGAGCUCCAUGCAUAUCAGCCGCUGCAUUUGUAGCCCUCCAGGAGAAGAGCAGGUGAAGGGCUGAGAGAAAGAUAUUAAGCUCGCAGCAAGACAGACGAAAGGAGGAUUACACUUUAUUGAGGGAAAGCUGGGAAAAUUACUCAGCGGAAAAGAAAACUGCUGGCAUGCCAUCAAAAACUCAUCCAGAAGAAUUACCAUAUGACUCUUUACCACUGACUGCCAAGAGAGGAAAAAAGGCUUGACUGUAAAACCGUAGGAGUGUUUUGCGUGUCUAAAGGCACAUGCUACAACUGCGCAGCUACAUCAAACACUUGAAUAAGCAUGCAUUAGUAUGCUUGUUUUAAUCUUGGAUUGCUCUGUGCUAUUUCCAGCACCUAUUGUGAAAAUGUCAAGUGGUGAAAUUGAACCGGGUUGCAGAUAUCUGUGUCUGUCACAAAUCUGUCUAAACAGGUUCUGACUGUUAAAAGAGAUUCCAGUGAGAGCCGUUUACCAUAUUGCCUAUUGACUGCUCAAAUUACAACUGUCAGUUUAACUAAAAUAUUAUUUGAAUUAUUUGGAUGACUUUGAAAGUGCAUGUCAGGGUUGACAUCGCUCUUAAUAUCAAAUAAUAUCUUUUCCAGCUUUUAUAACAGGAACGGUGCUAAAAGGAAGUGACAAUUGUUGAGGUACCUGUAAAUGCAAUCCUCAAGGACUAGAAAUGCACUUUGAUGGGAAGACUGUCGGCACAGUUUUGGCGUUAAGACUAUUAGCUUGUUCUGAAUGUGCUUUCUGUUUAUGAGAAGUAUAACAUUUGUGAAUAUUUUUGAAACAGAUGUCUGUUGUUGAUUGGAUUUGCUGUAGAAACUAAUGUAUGACUGCAGAGAAAUUCAAAAAGAGUGAAUAGAUUGACACAAAUUGAAGUUUAGUGGCUAAUUAGCUUUAAAUGGGCCACUUAAUUGGUCUCGAAUGCAAUGAGAAAAACAUCCAUAUUUCACUUUGUCUUCAUUAACACACUGGAAAGUGCUCAUUUGAUUUAUAAUAAUGAAGUUAAAUAGCAGAUAUUUAUUUCUUGGCCUAAAACAUUUUACUGAAGCAUUUAACAAGAUAAACUGAGGAAACAAACAUGUAAAUAUUGAAAUGAAAUGUUGCCAUGUUGAGCACACGGCUCACUGAUGAGACUCUAUAUUCUCAUUAAGCCAUUAAAACCUUCACAGAAU